GAUGAACGCUGGCGGCGUGCCUAAUACAUGCAAGUCGAGCGAACAGAUGAGGAGCUUGCUCCUCUGACGUUAGCGGCGGACGGGUGAGUAACACGUGGAUAACCUACCUAUAAGACUGGGAUAACUUCGGGAAACCGGAGCUAAUACCGGAUAAUAUAUUGAACCGCAUGGUUCAAUAGUGAAAGACGGUUUUGCUGUCACUUAUAGAUGGAUCCGCGCCGCAUUAGCUAGUUGGUAAGGUAACGGCUUACCAAGGCAACGAUGCGUAGCCGACCUGAGAGGGUGAUCGGCCACACUGGAACUGAGACACGGUCCAGACUCCUACGGGAGGCAGCAGUAGGGAAUCUUCCGCAAUGGGCGAAAGCUUGACGGAGCAACGCCGCGUGAGUGAUGAAGGUCUUCGGAUCGUAAAACUCUGUUAUUAGGGAAGAACAAAUGUGUAAGCAACUAUGCACGUCUUGACGGUACCUAAUCAGAAAGCCACGGCUAACUACGUG
rnacentral:rRNA from 1 species